rnacentral:rRNA from 1 species
UCUUGAGAGCGGCGGACGGGUGAGUAAUACCUAGGAAUCUGCCUGGUAGUGGGGGAUAACGUUCGGAAACGGACGCUAAUACCGCAUACGUCCUACGGGAGAAAGCAGGGGACCUUCGGGCCUUGCGCUAUCAGAUGAGCCUAGGUCGGAUUAGCUAGUUGGUGAGGUAAUGGCUCACCAAGGCUACGAUCCGUAACUGGUCUGAGAGGAUGAUCAGUCACACUGGAACUGAGACACGGUCCAGACUCCUACGGGAGGCAGCAGUGGGGAAUAUUGGACAAUGGGCGAAAGCCUGAUCCAGCCAUGCCGCGUGUGUGAAGAAGGUCUUCGGAUUGUAAAGCACUUUAAGUUGGGAGGAAGGGCAUUAACCUAAUACGUUAGUGUUUUGACGUUACCGACAGAAUAAGCACCGGCUAACUCUGUGC